rnacentral:rRNA from 1 species
UACGAAAGGGGCUAGCGGUGUUCGGAAUUACUGGGCGUAAAGGGCGCGUAGGCGGCCCGGUAAGUCAGGUGUGAAAGCCCGGGGCUCAACCCCGGAAGUGCAUUUGAUACUGCCAGGCUUGAGUAUGGGAGAGGGAAGUGGAAUUCCUGGUGUAGAGGUGAAAUUCGUAGAUAUCAGGAGGAACACCGGUGGCGAAGGCGACUUCCUGGACCAAUACUGACGCUGAGGCGCGAAGGCGUGGGGAGCAAACAGG